rnacentral:rRNA from 1 species
CCUACGGGUGGCAGCAGUGGGGAAUAUUGCUCAAUGGGGGAAACCCUGAAGCAGCAACGCCGCGUGGAGGAUGAAGGUUUUCGGAUUGUAAACUCCUUUUGUUAGAGAAGAUAAUGACGGUAUCUAACGAAUAAGCACCGGCUAACUCCGUGCCAGCAGCCGCGGUCAUACGGAGGGUGCAAGCGUUAAUCGGACUCACUGGGCGUAAAGAGGGCGUAGGCGGGAUAGCAAGUCCGAUGUGAAAACCUCUGGCUUAACCAUAGAACUGCAGUUGAAACUGUUAUUCUAGAGUAUGGGAGAGGUAGGUGGAAUUCUUGGUGUAGCGGUAAAAUCCGUAGAGAUCAAGAGGAAUACUCAUUGCGAAGGCGACCUGCUGGAACAUAACUGACGCUGAUGCGCGAAAGCGUGGGGAGCAAACAGGAUUAGAUACCCCUGUAGUC